rnacentral:rRNA from 1 species
UACGAGGGGGGGCAAGCGUUGUUCGGAAUUAUUGGGCGUAAAGGGUGCGUAGGCGGUUUGGUAAGUCUUAUGUGAAAUCUACAGGCUCAACUUGUAGUCUGCAUGAGAAACUGCCGGGCUUGAGUAUGGGAGAGGUGAGUGGAAUUCCUGGUGUAGCGGUGAAAUGCGUAGAUAUCAGGAGGAACACCUGUGGCGAAAGCGGCUCUCUGGGACGGUACUGACGCUGAGACGCGAAAAGCGUGGGGAGCAAACAGG